UUGAACGCUGGCGGCCGGCCUAACACAUGCCAGUCGAACGGUAACAGGAAGAAGCUUGCUUCUUUGCUGACGAGUGGCGGACGGGUGAGUAAUGUCUGGGAAACUGCCUGAUGGAGGGGGAUAACUACUGGAAACGGUAGCUAAUACCGCAUAACGUCGCAAGACCAAAGAGGGGGACCUUCGGGCCUCUUGCCAUCGGAUGUGCCCAGAUGGGAUUAGCUAGUAGGUGGGGUAACGGCUCACCUAGGCGACGAUCCCUAGCUGGUCUGAGAGGAUGACCAGCCACACUGGAAAUGAGACACGGUCCAGACUCCUACGGGAGGCAGCAGUCGGGAAUAUUGCACAAUGGGCGCAAGACUGAUACAGCCAUGCCGCGUGUAUGAAGAGGGCCUUCGGGUUGUAAAGUACUUUCAGCGGGGAGGAAGGGAGUAAAGUUAAUACCUUUGCUCAUUGACGUUACCCGCAGAAGAAGCACCGGCUAACUCCGUG
rnacentral:rRNA from 1 species